rnacentral:rRNA from 1 species
UACGUAGGGUGCGAGCGUUAAUCGGAAUUACUGGGCGUAAAGCGUACGCAGGCGGUUUGCUAAGACAGGUGUGAAAUCCCCGGGCUUAACCUGGGAACUGCGCUUGUUACUGGCAAGCUAGAGUGUGGCAGAGGGGGGUGAGAAUUCCAGGUGUAGCGGUGAAAUGCGUAGAUAUCUGGAGGAACACCGGUGGCGAAGGCGGCAUCCUGGACCGGUAUUGACGCUGAGGCGCGAAAGCCAGGGGAGCAAACGGG